CAGUAGCCGCGGUAAUACGUAGGUGGCAAGCGUUGUCCGGAAUUAUUGGGCGUAAAGCGCGCGCAGGCGGAUCAGUUAGUCUGUCUUAAAAGUUCGGGGCUUAACCCCGUGAUGGGAUGGAAACUGCUGAUCUAGAGUAUCGGAGAGGAAAGUGGAAUUCCUAGUGUAGCGGUGAAAUGCGUAGAUAUUAGGAAGAACACCAGUGGCGAAGGCGACUUUCUGGACGAAAACUGACGCUGAGGCGCGAAAGCCAGGGGAGCGAACGGGAUUAGAUACCCCUGUAGUCCCUGUCUCUUAUACA
rnacentral:rRNA from 1 species